rnacentral:rRNA from 1 species
AGUGGGGAAUUUUGGACAAUGGGCGNAAGCCUGAUCCAGCAAUCCCGCGUGUGUGAAGAAGGCCUUAGGGUUGUAAAGCUCUUUCAAUGGGGAAGAAAACCUGCCGGUCAAUACCCGGUAGCUUGACGGUACCUNNAGAAGAAGCACCGGCUAACUCCGUGCCAGCAGCCGCGGUAAUACGGAGGGGGCGAGCGUUAAUCGGAAUUACUGGGCGUAAAGCGUGCGUAGGCGGUUUGUUAAGUCAGAUGUGAAAGCCCNNGGCUCAACCUGGGAACUGCAUUUNAAACUGCCNGACUAGAGUUUNGUAGAGGGAAGUGGAAUUCCAGGUGUAGCGGUGAAAUGCGUAGAUAUCUGAAGGAACACCNGUGGCGAAGGCGACUCCCUGGACUNNAACUGACGCUCANGCACGAAAGCGUGGGUAGCAAACAGGAUUAGAUACCCUGGUAGUCCCCGCCGUAAACGAUGUAUACUAGCCGUUGGUCGUAUUUACACCUUNAGUGGCGCAGCUAACGCAUUAAGUUANCCGCCUGGGGAGUACGGUCGCAAGGUUA